rnacentral:rRNA from 1 species
AGUGAACGCUGGCGGUAGGCCUAACACAUGCAAGUCGAACGGCAGCACAGUAAGAGCUUGCUCUUACGGGUGGCGAGUGGCGGACGGGUGAGGAAUACAUCGGAAUCUACUUUUUCGUGGGGGAUAACGUAGGGAAAAUUACGCUAAUACCGCAUACGACCUACGGGUGAAAGCAGGGGAUCUUCGGACCUUGCGCGAUUGAAUGAGCCGAUGUCGGAUUAGCUAGUUGGCGGGGUAAAGGCCCACCAAGGCGACGAUCCGUAGCUGGUCUGAGAGGAUGAUCAGCCACACUGGAACUGAGACACGGUCCAGACUCCUACGGGAGGCAGCAGUGGGGAAUAUUGGACAAUGGGCGCAAGCCUGAUCCAGCCAUACCGCGUGGGUGAAGAAGGCCUUCGGGUCGUAAAGCCCUUUUGUUGGGAAAGAAAAGCAGCAGGUUAAUACCCCGCUGUUCUGACGGUACCCAAAGAAUAAGCACCGGCUAACUUCGUG